AAAACGGAGAGUUUGAUCCUGGCUCAGGAUGAACGCUGGCGGUAUGCUUAACACAUGCAAGUCGAACGGGCUCUUCGGAGCUAGUGGCGGACGGGUGAGUAACGCGUGAGAAUCUGGCUUCAGGUUCGGGACAACAGUUGGAAACGGCUGCUAAUACCGGAUGUGCCUGUGGGUGAAAGAUUUAUCACCUGAAGAUGAGCUCGCGUCUGAUUAGCUAGUAGGUGUGGUAAGAGCGCACCUAGGCGACGAUCAGUAGCUGGUCUGAGAGGAUGACCAGCCACACUGGGACUGAGACACGGCCCAGACUCCUACGGGAGGCAGCAGUGGGGAAUUUUCCGCAAUGGGCGAAAGCCUGACGGAGCAAUACCGCGUGAGGGAGGAAGGCUCUUGGGUUGUAAACCUCU
rnacentral:ncRNA from 1 species